AGCCCACAGCACAGAAAGCUUUGUCUUGGUGAGCUUAACAAACCACCACUUCCAGUUUGUGCUAUCUCUACAGCUUUAAGCAACAAUGAAAUCUAUACUCAUCAAUGAGAUAGCAAUUCCAGCUCCAGCAUUUUGUGCAGCUGCAAUGACUGCUGGUAACUAAUAGUUUGGAUCAACUCCAACAUUUUGUCAACCACAAUUGGAGCAGCCACUUUUUUACACCUGCUCCAGCAACAACUUUUGCUACGCUGGCUCAGAACAAAACCUUUUGGAAAGUUACAACUGAAGCUGCUAAACCUGUUGUCCAACUAGCAUUUCUAAACCAACUUCAGUGACAACUUUGUUAACCUAUUUUUGUAAUACACUUUUGUUAGGUUAACGUUUUUGUAUAAAAAAAAAUCUUUCACUGUUUCAAUAGAAUGCAAUAAUUUUCCUUUUGUAUUUUAUCAUUAUCAUUUAUUUACAAACACAAUUCCGCAGCAAAGCGCGGGUAUAAUUUCUAGUAAAUAUACGGUUGCUGCUUUAAUGUCAUUGAAUUGACAAUCAUAUCAACCUCAUAUGUCGUUAACUUGUGGAUUAUGAACUAGAGUACGUAUGCAGCUUCGUCAAUAUAUUUUUGUACAACAUUAGAUGCUAAAUGAAUUUGGUUGUAUCAUGCUGAUUUUGUUGUUGACUGCUUGCAGUUGUACAUAGCACCUAUAUAUUCAUGUUGCAGGUUUCAUAGCUAUGUAUGCUACACUUGCCAGUAGUC